UCUUCCAACCCCAGUCUCAUCUUCCCGGCUCUAAUCUACGCCCCCUCAUCUUCCCAGCUAUAAUCUACGCAUCAUCUCUUUCUCUUUCUCUCUCAUUCUCUCUCAUCUACCAACCACUCGGGCUUGUGUCCGUUGCACCAUCUAGCUAAAGGUGCGUUUUCUUCACAACAGAGGAUGAAUUUGAUACAGCGCAAGAUCUAUCUCUACAACGUCACGUUCGGUCUCUACAUGUUGGAUUGGUGGGAGCGCUACCUCUUCAAUAUAUUGAUGAUUGUGUUACUAUGGUUCAUUUUCUACAACGGAUCACGCUCUGCUGCUGAGUUCUAUAGAAGCCAUCUUAAAAUGAAGCUCGGGAUUGGCGGGAACCUGGCAUCCUGAUGGCUGAUGGGAGCACAGAAUGAUGGUAGAGCUUAAUGUAUGCUUAGCCAUCUUAAAAUGAAGCUUGGGAUUGGCGGGAACCUGGCAUCCUGAUGGCUGAUGGGAGCACCAAAUGAUAGUAGAGCUUAAUGACUGAUCAGACCAUUAUUAAUGUAUGCUUGGGUUUUCUUAAUGGCUGUGUAAGGAUAUCUAUUGAAGCUAUAAAAAUACAUGCAUGCUGUUUUUUGCCC